rnacentral:rRNA from 1 species
UACGUAGGGUGCAAGCGUUGUCCGGAAUUAUUGGGCGUAAAGAGCUCGUAGGCGGUGUGUCACGUCGGCCGUGAAAAACCUGCAGCUUAACUGUGGGCGUGCGGUCGAUACGGGCAUCACUGGAGUUCGGCAGGGGAGACUGGAAUUCCUGGUGUAGCGGUUGAAAAUGCGCAGAUAUCAGGAGGAACACUGGUGGCGAAGGCGGGGUCUC